UACGAAGGGGGCUAGCGUUGUUCGGAAUUACUGGGCGUAAAGCGUGCGUAGGUGGUGAGUUAAGUCUGUCGUGAAAGCCCCGGGCUCAACCUGGGAAUGGCGAUGGAUACUGGCUCGCUAGAGUGCGGUAGAGGAGAGUGGAAUUCCCGGUGUAGCAGUGAAAUGCGCAGAUAUCAGGAAGAACACCCGUGGCGAAGGCGGCUCUCUGGGACGGUACUGACGCUGAGACGCGAAAGCGUGGGGAGCGAACAGG
rnacentral:rRNA from 1 species